GGUCCGCUGGCUCAAUGGCAGAGCGUCUGACUACGACACCACAUCGGUUCGAGUGAUCAGGAGGUUCCAGGUUCGACCCCUGGGUGGAUCG